UACGUAGGGUGCGAGCGUUAAUCGGAAUUACUGGGCGUAAAGUGUGCGCAGGCGGCCGAGCAAGUCAAGUGUGAAAGCCCCGAGCUUAACUUGGGAACUGCGCUCGAAACUACUUGGCUAGAGUGUGGCAGAGGGAGGUGGAAUUCCACGUGUAGCGGUGAAAUGCGCAGAUAUCAGGAGGAACACCGAUUGCGAAGGCAGCUCGCUGGAACGUAACUGACGCUGAGACGCGAAAGCGUGGGGAGCAAACAGG
rnacentral:rRNA from 1 species